rnacentral:rRNA from 1 species
UGAGGAAUAUUGCGCAAUGGAGGAAACUCUGACGCAGCCAUGCCGCGUGAGUGAAGAAGGCCCUAGGGUUGUAAAGCUCUUUCAGAUGCGAAGAUAAUGACGGUAACAUCAGAAGAAGCCCCGGCUAAAUUCGUGCCAGCAGCCGCGGUAAUACGAAUGGGGCGAGCGUUGUUCGGAAUCACUGGGCGUAAAGCGUAUGUAGGCGGACUUGAAAGUCAGAAGUGAAAUCCCGAGGCUCAACCUCGGAACUGCUUUUGAAACUCCAAGUCUUGAAUCCCGGAGGGGUCAGUGGAAUUCCAAGUGUAGAGGUGAAAUUCGCAGAUAUUUGGAGGAACACCAGUGGCGUAGGCGACUGACUGGACGGGUAUUGACGCUGAGAUACGAAAGCGUGGGGAGCAAACAGGAUUAGAUACCCCCGUAGUCC